GUAGUGUGACUAGAAAAUUGAUUUCAUAUAUGAAAUCAACAAGAUCUGCAAGCUUAUUUCACUUUCAAAAGUCAGUGUUCCUAUGUUUCUGCAUUUAUGCAGUGGUCGGACCGCAUAAUGUCUGAAUCCUGCGUCUCGUUUUAGAAGUGUGAGAAGACAGACGAGAAGAUCCAAGCCACUUCCUACGUGACUAGGUUAAAACACAACAGGAUUGCUCACAAUGUCAAUUACUUUGGAUAUUAUGGCACGCCAAGCGCCCUUUCGGGUGAUGCUGAUGCUACAGCGUACGCUAACUGUUCUUCCAAUGACAAAAAAUGGAUGAGCCAGAGCAACCAGAAAAAUAAUCAAAAUUAAUCGCAGCAUCAGAGCCAUCCGCGUGGCAAUGCUUCCAUAUACCAGGAUAUGUCAAGCAAGGAAGAGGUAAAGCAAAAUAUGCGAAUGCUUGACGAAGCACGCUGCGGAAACUGAGGUUUCUUGACGUGCGCCAUCAGUAAAAGUUGUAAAAACAACAAACUUUUCGUAACCGGAAGAAACUAAAAUUUGCUCUAUUAUAAUCACAAGUCGAAAAGAAAAGCUUGAGAGCUGGUUGAACGGAGGAAGCGGAAGCAACGGUGCCAUUGAGACCAUGGAAAUAAUAAACGAGGGAGUACUUGCAGACAACUGACGAACGAGAUGGACUCAGGAAGAUGAUAAAGAAAUUGAUAAACAGAGUUCUUACUUACUCAGUUAGAUAAGUUACAUUAAGAAAUAAAGAGUAAGGAAGGUUUAAGUUUGGUUGUAAUCGAACAUUUAAUACUCUUGCAACUUGCGGUAUUGACGCCGGCUUGUUAGAGUAACGAAAAUCAUUACUGUAGUAUAAUAUAAUUUCAGAUAUUUUCGACAUUAAACCACACUCAUGGCCACGCAAACCUUACCACUAAAAAUUUUCAAGUAUUGUGCAUAUUUGACUACAUUUUAUAGCGGUACUUUUUGCAGUAUAUAUUACAUAUUGACAUAUUAUUAAUCAAAAAUAUUAAAAAACUAGUUGACCCCGCAGGCGUUGUCUUGCGUGAAAUUAUGUGUUUUGAAAUGAAAAGAAAAUUGAAUUUACGUUGUGUUAAAAACCAUCUAUUUUCGAUUUUUCUAAAUUUUUUUCAAUGUAACGCAGCUUGAUAAACAACAUUUUUUGGUUUCUGUUCCGGUGCGUAAAUGUACAUAGAAGACGGUUUUCCAACUCAUGAGCACGUCACGUAUAGCUGGCCGUGUGAAAAACAUGGCAUUUCCAGAUUUAUGCCACACACUUCCAACGGAUAACAAUAAUAAGUUAUCAAAUUAUUGCUUGCCCAGACGGACAGGCGGGCGGACGGACAGACAGUCGGAAUUCAACUUGUCUCGUCAUCGUGAUCAUUUAUAUAUAACUUUAUUUCUAAUUCUAUUAUUAUUAGUUGAUGUAAACAACCGCUAGAUGAACAGAACCAUUUACUCUGUAGCAACCGGCUGCAAGUCUAUAAAAACAUAAUAUAUGUUAUGGA